rnacentral:rRNA from 1 species
GAUUUCCGAGUACAUGAAUGUUGUAAAUUUAAAACUCAAGAACUUGGCGGUGUUUUAGACCAUUUAGGGGAACCUGUCUCGUAAUCGACAAUCCGCGUUAUACCUGACCUUUCUUUGUUUUUCAGUAUGUAUACCGUUGUCGUCAGGUAACUUUUUAGAAAAAGGGAGUUGGCUGGGAAAAUAUAAUUUAAUACGUCAAAUCAAGGUGCAGCUAAUAGAAAGGGGAGGAUGGGUUACAGUUAUAAGUUAUAAUUACGAAAGGUGGACUUGAAAGUAAAUUGGAUAAGGAUAAUUUGAAUAAGGCUCUGAAACGUGU